AUUAGACGAAUCAUCUGGAAAGAUGAAUCAAAGAAGGUAAUAAUCCUGUAGUCGAAAAUGUUGUCUCUCUUGAGUGGAUCCUGAGUACGACGGAGCACGUGAAAUUCCGUCGGAAUCUGGGAGGACCAUCUCCUAAGGCUAAAUACUCUCUAGUGACCGAUAGUGAACCAGUACCGUGAGGGAAAGGUGAAAAGCACCCCGGAAGGGGAGUGAAAUAGAACCUGAAACCGUGUGCUUACAAGUAGUCAGAGCCCGUUAAUGGGUGAUGGCGUGCCUUUUGUAGAAUGAACCGGCGAGUUACGAUUUGAUGCAAGGUUAAGCAGUAAAUGUGGAGCCGUAGCGAAAGCGAGUCUGAAUAGGGCGUUUAGUAUUUGGUCGUAGACCCGAAACCAGGUGAUCUACCCUUGGUCAGGUUGAAGUUCAGGUAACACUGAAUGGAGGACCGAACCGACUUACGUUGAAAAGUGAGCGGAUGAACUGAGGGUAGCGGAGAAAUUCCAAUCGAACCUGGAGAUAGCUGGUUCUCUCCGAAAUAGCUUUAGGGCUAGCCUCAAGUGAUGAUUAUUGGAGGUAGAGCACUGUUUGGACGAGGGGCCCCUCUCGGGUUACCGAAUUCAGACAAACUCCGAAUGCCAAUUAAUUUAACUUGGGAGUCAGAACAUGGGUGAUAAGGUCCGUGUUCGAAAGGGAAACAGCCCAGACCACCAGCUAAGGUCCCAAAAUAUAUGUUAAGUGGAAAAGGAUGUGGCGUUGCCCAGACAACUAGGAUGUUGGCUUAGAAGCAGCCAUCAUUUAAAGAGUGCGUAAUAGCUCACUAGUCGAGUGACACUGCGCCGAAAAUGUACCGGGGCUAAACAUAUUACCGAAGCUGUGGAUUGUCCUUUGGACAAUGGUAGGAGAGCGUUCUAAGGGCGUUGAAGCAUGAUCGUAAGGACAUGUGGAGCGCUUAGAAGUGAGAAUGCCGGUGUGAGUAGCGAAAGACGGGUGAGAAUCCCGUCCACCGAUUGACUAAGGUUUCCAGAGGAAGGCUCGUCCGCUCUGGGUUAGUCGGGUCCUAAGCUGAGGCCGACAGGCGUAGGCGAUGGAUAACAGGUUGAUAUUCCUGUACCACCUAUAAUCGUUUUAAUCGAUGGGG
rnacentral:rRNA from 1 species